AUUGAACGCUGGCGGCAGGCCUAACACAUGCAAGUCGAGCGGAUGAAGGGAGCUUGCUCCUGGAUUCAGCGGCGGACGGGUGAGUAAUGCCUAGGAAUCUGCCUGGUAGUGGGGGAUAACGUCCGGAAACGGGCGCUAAUACCGCAUACGUCCUGAGGGAGAAAGUGGGUGAUCUUCGGACCUCACGCUAUCAGAUGAGCCUAGGUCGGAUUAGCUAGUUGGUGGGGUAAAGGCCUACCAAGGCGACGAUCCGUAACUGGUCUGAGAGGAUGAUCAGUCACACUGGAACUGAGACACGGUCCAGACUCCUACGGGAGGCAGCAGUGGGGAAUAUUGGACGAUGGGCGAAAGCCUGAUCCAGCCAUGCCGCGUGUGUGAAGAAGGUCUUCGGAUUGUAAAGCACUUUAAGUUGGGAGGAAGGGCGGUAAGUUAAUACCUUGCUGUUUUGACGUUACCAACAGAAUAAGCACCGGCUAACUUCGUG
rnacentral:rRNA from 1 species